rnacentral:rRNA from 1 species
GAUGAACGCUAGCGGGAGGCCUAACACAUGCAAGCCGAGCGGUAUUUGUUCUUCGGAACAGAGAGAGCGGCGCACGGGUGCGGAACACGUGUGCAACCUGCCUUUAUCUGGGGGAUAGCCUUUCGAAAGGAAGAUUAAUACCCCAUAAUAUAUUGAGUGGCAUCAUUUGAUAUUGAAAACUCCGGUGGAUAGAGAUGGGCACGCGCAAGAUUAGAUAGUUGGUGAGGUAACGGCUCACCAAGUCAAUGAUCUUUAGGGGGCCUGAGAGGGUGAUCCCCCACACUGGUACUGAGACACGGACCAGACUCCUACGGGAGGCAGCAGUGAGGAAUAUUGGACAAUGGGUUAGCGCCUGAUCCAGCCAUCCCGCGUGAAGGACGACGGCCCUAUGGGUUGUAAACUUCUUUUGUAUAGGGAUAAACCUACUCUCGUGAGGGUAGCUGAAGGUACUAUACGAAUAAGCACCGGCUAACUCCGUG